rnacentral:rRNA from 1 species
ACUCCUACGGGAGGCAGCAGUGGGGAAUAUUGCACAAUGGGGGAAACCCUGAUGCAGCCAUGUCGCGUGUGUGAAGAAGGCCUUCGGGUUGUAAAGCACUUUCAGUUGUGAGGAAAGGUUGGUAGUUAAUACCUGCCAGCUGUGACGUUAACAACAGAAGAAGCACCGGCUAACUCCGUGCCAGCAGCCGCGGUAAUACGGAGGGUGCGAGCGUUAAUCGGAAUUACUGGGCGUAAAGCGUGCGCAGGCGGUCUGUUAAGCGAGAUGUGAAAGCCCCGGGCUCAACCUGGGAACUGCAUUUCGAACUGGCAGACUAGAGUCUUGUAGAGGGGGGUAGAAUUCCAGGUGUGAGCGGUGAAAUGCGUAGAGAUCUGGAGGAAUACCGGUGGCGAAGGCGGCCCCCUGGACAAAGACUGACGCUCAGGCACGAAAGCGUGGGGAGCAAACAGGAUUAGAUACCCUGGUAGGAUAG